rnacentral:rRNA from 1 species
UACGAGGGGUGCAAGCGUUGCUCGGAAUUAUUGGGCGUAAAGGGUAGGUAGGUGGUCUCAUUUGUCCGGGGUGAAAGCCUUGAGCUUAACUCAAGAAGUGCCUCGGAAACGGUGAGACUAGAGUCUUGGAGAGGGUCGUGGAAUUCCCGGUGUAGCGGUGAAAUUCGUAGAUAUUCGGAAGAACACCAGUGGCGAAGGCGGCUGACUGGACAUGUAUUGACGCUGAGGUGCGAAAGCGUGGGGAGCAAACAGG